CAAGAGAGGAAGGGCUCAGAUCGGGUGUCAUCGAACAUUUUAUACUCUCGCAAUUUAUUUAUUUAAAUUUAUUAAUAUAACAAACAAUUUGACUCACAUAUUCGGCGUAUAUAUGGUAUACAUUGAAAGUUUGAAAACCCUAAUAUUAAGUAUAUGGGAGAUAGAUGAAGUUAUGACCCGAUUUCACUCAUUGUUGGCACUUAGUUGGACCGAUUUGGAUGAUUUUGAGAAGUGCGGUGCCACACUAUAAAUGCAGUAUUUGAGCAAAGUUCUGUUCUGAUAUCUUCACUCUUACUAACUUUAUAUAUUGUAAAGUGGGCGGAAGCACGCCCAUUUAAAAUUUUGUAUACCAUUUUGAGUACAGCUUUUCUGUGCCACCUUUAUAAUAAAAUUUUAUGUUUCUGGUGGUUUUCCUUACUGAAUUAAUGCACUUUUAGUAGUUUUAGUAGGAGGUGGGUGCGGUUAUAAUCCGAUUUCCUCCAUUUUUGGACUGUAUAAGGUAGUACUUAAAAAAACGACUCUAGAAAGUUUGGUUCAUAUAGCUUAAGUAGUUUACGAGAUAUGUACGCCCACUUCCUCAAAAAAUUACAUCCACGUAUGCCUCUUCAUAGUGCUAUCCUUCAUACUAAAUUUUACUUCAAUAACUUAAGGUACGGCUUAGUUAUAGCUUUUUAUGUGUUUUCGGUUAUUACCAUUUUGUGGGCGUGGCAGUGGUCCGAUUACGCCCAUCUUUGAACUUAACCUUCUUAUGGUGCUAAGAAAUACGUCUUCCAAGUUUCCUCAAGAUAUCUCAAUUUUUACUCAAGUUACAGCUUGCACGGACAGAUGGAUAGACUUUGUUGCGAGAGUAUAAAAAUGGCAGAAAGAAACUGCACUCAAAUUAAAAGAAAAUGGAAAAUGGGAGUGGCGUUGCCCACUUAUUUGUUAAAAACCAUAUCUCAGGAACUACUCGACCGAUUUCAAUGAAAUUCGGUAUAUAAUACUUUCUUGAUGGAAAAUGGGCGAAACGUCUACUUCCUAUAUAACUUAAAUUUUUCCAUCUGAUUUUCUCUUUAUAAUGUAACUUUAUUUAUUUACUGUAACUUUUCAAAACCCCGGAUAUCGAACAUGAAGAACUCAGUGCCUAAUGUUAAUUGUUUACCGAAUAUAUCGCUAAUUCUGUCAGAUAUUUUUUUAUUUUUUCUUGUCUCUGUAUCAAAAAUAGUUAAUAUAUAAUCCAACAUCCCCUAGUUCCAUAUACCUUUUAUUCAGCCCUCAAAAACUAUAUAUGAUGACUUACGUUAUUCUAUUGGACUUUAUCCCGAAUAUAUGGGUCCAAUUGUGUGUUAUCUUAAUAAAAAGAUAGCAAUAAAUUGCGGGAGUAUAAAAAGUUCCUUUUCCUAUAGGGCUGUGCCUCAAACUCAAAUAUUCCCACAAGUUUAGCAAUUCCCUUAAAAACUUAUGCAAAUAGCUGAAAUUCGUAUUUUACCAUCAAUAAAAGUAAAUUCACAUUUGUUUGUAUACAAUUUUUUCAUUUUCAGUUAGUAGACCGUCGCGCAAAUAUUUAAUUCCAUGCCGGUUCGGGCUUUCGCUCCUUGUUAUUGUCUUAUGCGUACAGAAUCAAUCAUUUAAUUUAUUUAAUCUUCCAACAGUCAAUCCCCUCGUCAAGAUUUCGUCACUAAAAUUUAGCAUACAACUAAAAUUCGAAAAUAAGAGUAGAAACGGUUUUGGGCAGAAAAGUGAAUCUAUAUACGGAAAUGUUGUAUUCUUCCUUAGGCUUAACUGUCAAGCAAUUUAAUCGCCUUCGGAAAUAAAUAUUUCACAAGGAUUAGCUUUAAUAGCGCCGCAUGUAAAUUUUCUUCGUUGACUUCCGUCCUCUGAUGAAUAUCUCAAUCUUAGGCAGAUGUUUCAAUUUGACUGAUGGAGCGUGGGUAAAACUGCAUGUGCCCAGACAUUACUUAUGAGUAUAUACACAUGUACAUCUAAAUACAAGAAAUUAAUAAAAUGGUGAAGUUUGCAUGUUAUAUUAUGCUCUCAAACACUUUUAUAGCUGAUUUAAUAAUAUCAAAUUUUAAUUUUUUUUGAAAUUUAGUAAGAAAUAUAAGAAUAUUAUUAGUUUUAAUUAGCAGAAAUUGGGUUUAUAAACUUCACUGUGUACAUUUCCAGUAAUGAAAUCUAAUAAAUCUUAAAAAUAAUUCUACAAUUGGUCUCUUGGAAAAUGGCGAAGAAAUUACUUCUUAUGUAUUUGUCAUUUUUAACUUAAAAAAAAAAUAUAUAUUUGUGAUGAAACUAUUCUCGCGAUAAGCGCAGUGUGAUUUUGUUCACAGCUGGAACUCUUCGAAACUGAUAUAAAGUUAAAUAUAUAUGUGACCUGGUCUACGAAAAGGGAGAUAAUGUGCGAAAACUAGUUUUCUGGGAAACAGCUGUUAAAAAUAAACAACUCUCAUCUUCCAUCCGAAUCAACCAAAAAGUGAAAAUUGAUUUUUUGACACCUAAGCCUCCUUUCCGUAGACCAGGUCACAUAUGUACAUUUGUUUUUGAGUGUCCGAUCGUCUUUCCAUGCAAACUUUGAAUUCAGUAAUAAUCUAGAUAUUAUGAUUAAACUUGGUAUAAAAGGGACUAUUGACACCCUUACAAAAUGGGUUUUAAAGUUUGUGAAUUUGAAAAGUGAUCGGACCAAACUUAGUGAAAGCAUUUUCACUCAGCAAUCGGUGUAUUACAACUACACAUAUAUGUAUCUCACUGCGCGACAAAUAAAGCACGUAACGAAUAUAUCGAAAUAGAAUUUGGCACAAACGUUGGUUUGUAGGUGUGACAUCUAUCAUUGAUGGUCAAAUUCGGCUCAAGCCACUUUUCUUGAUAAUUUUGUAACCUUAUUCCCUUAUCACUAGGGAUGUCAAGAUUAAUCAAAUGAAUAGUAUUAAUCGAGUAUUUUUUUUAAAGCGAUUUAAUGGAAUCGAAUUUUCUUCGAUCGAUUAGUUACUAAAUUAUUAAAUAAAAGCUGUCAGUUGGCUAACUGCUAUAGAGAAGCCAAUCGAACAAACUCUCUAAAUUUGCAUACGAACUGGCAGCGCUGAAACCGAAUUGUUUAUACUUGGUAGCACUGAACUCUUUGACAGUUCCCUAACAAAACAAUUUAAUUUUCAAAGAUAAAUAAAAAAGAGCGGAUAAUUUGUUGUUAAAAACGAAAAUGGAAAAAUAUUUUAAUUUGAUUUCUCAGUAUUUGCAAAAUUUGCACUAGCGCAGACAGAUUCAGAAAGGCUGUUUCCAAUUGAGGCUUUCAUUUUGGGCGAUUCAGCCUACCCUGCUACCCUGGUUAGUGGCACCUUUUAAUGACUAUGGAAACUUGACCGCAUCGCAUCGAAAUUUCAACAAAUUACACUCUUCUACACAUAGAACCAAGAUGAAGAUUUAGAAAACAGUUUACAAGAUGAGUCCCAUGAAGUCCAUCAACAAACAAAUAGUAAUAGACGAGAUGAAUUAUUUCAAUAUUCACCAUAACUUAAUAGUGGUACUCAUUUAAUGUCGCAAUUAUAUAAACAUGGCAAAUUGGCAAUAACAGUUAAAUGAGCGCUCUGUGGCAUCAAAUAUUUGUGCUGUUGGUUUCUGAAACAAAAUCGUGAAAUGUAAACUGAGUUAAUAAGAUAUACAUAUUUUAAUAUUAUCUCAAAUUAUCUUUUAAUCUUAUAUUAUAAAUCAAAUAAACGCUUUGAAAAAUCA